rnacentral:rRNA from 1 species
AUUGAACGCUGGCGGCAGGCUUAACACAUGCAAGUCGAGCGGUAGAGACCUUCGGGUCUUGAGAGCGGCGGACGGGUGAGUAAUACAUAGGAAUCUGCCUGGUAGUGGGGGAUAGCCCGGGGAAACCCGGAUUAAUACCGCAUACGCCCCAUGGGGGAAAGGAGGGGAUCUUCGGACCUUUCGCUAUCAGAUGAGCCUAUGUCGGAUUAGCUAGUUGGUGAGGUAAGGGCUCACCAAGGCGACGAUCCGUAACUGGUCUGAGAGGAUGAUCAGUCACACUAGAACUGAGACACGGUCCAGACUCCUACGGGAGGCAGCAGUGGGGAAUAUUGGACAAUGGGGGAAACCCUGAUCCAGCCAUGCCGCGUGUGCGAUGAAGGCUUUCGGGUUGUAAAGCACUUUCAGUCGGGAGGAAAGGGUGCAGGCUAAUAUCCUGUGCAGUUGACGUUACCGACAGAAGAAGCACCGGCAAACUCCGUGCCAGCA